GAUGAACGCUGGCGGCGUGCCUAAUACAUGCAAGUCGAGCGAACAGACGAGGAGCUUGCUCCUCUGACGUUAGCGGCGGACGGGUGAGUAACACGUGGAUAACCUACCUAUAAGACUGGGAUAACUUCGGGAAACCGGAGCUAAUACCGGAUAAUAUAUUGAACCGCAUGGUUCAAUAGUGAAAGACGGUUUUGCUGUCACUUAUAGAUGGAUCCGCGCUGCAUUAGCUAGUUGGUAAGGUAACGGCUUACCAAGGCGACGAUGCGUAGCCGACCUGAGAGGGUGAUCGGCCACACUGGAACUGAGACACGGUCCAGACUCCUACGGGAGGCAGCAGUAGGGAAUCUUCCGCAAUGGGCGAAAGCUUGACGGAGCAACGCCGCGUGAGUGAUGAAGGUCUUCGGAUCGUAAAACUCUGUUAUUAGGGAAGAACAAAUGUGUAAGUAACUAUGCACGUCUUGACGGUACCUAAUCAGAAAGCCACGGCUAACUACGUG
rnacentral:rRNA from 1 species